rnacentral:rRNA from 1 species
CUGGCUCAGGAUGAACGCUAGCUACAGGCUUAACACAUGCAAGUCGAGGGGCAGCAUGUGGUUGCUUGCAACCAAUGAUGGCGACCGGCGCACGGGUGAGUAACGCGUAUCCAACCUUCCCCUUAGUAGAGGAUAGCCCGGCGAAAGUCGGAUUAAUACUCUAUGUUCUUCAAUGCGGACAUCUAAGUUGAAGCAAAGAUUUAUCGCUAAGGGAUGGGGAUGCGUCUGAUUAGGUUGCAGGCGGGGUAACGGCCCACCUGGCCUACGAUCAGUAGGGGUUCUGAGAGGAAGGUCCCCCACACUGGUACUGAGACACGGACCAGACUCCUACGGGAGGCAGCAGUGAGGAAUAUUGGUCAAUGGGCGCGAGCCUGAACCAGCCAAGUAGCGUGCAGGAACCGACUGCCCUAUGGGUCGUAAACUGCUUUUAUCAGGGAAUAAAGUGAGGCACGCGUGCCUUUUUGUAUGUACCUGAUGAAUAAGGACCGGCUAAUUCCGUGCCAGCCGCAGC